UGAGCUGCUCCCGUGAGGGGUUCCGCAUACCUGACCCGCCACCACUUUGAAGCCCUCGUGGGUGGAGGCCACACCUGGCGGGAUCGGCCCACGUGAACCACAGUGGGUCCAUGAGACGCAGAGUGUCUCUGAUCACGGCCACUUUCACUUCUUCAUCAACAAGACUGGGGACGUUCUCAAACACCCCUGGAGAGAGCUUGAAGGGGUGCCCUGGGGACUCAAAGAUACCUUGUCCUUCAUCCCUCACCUCUGGAAGCUUCCAAAGCAAGUUGGAGAGAAAAGGGCCCUGAGCUAUUCAUUGUAAACUCAGCUGCAAGGCAUGUGGGAUCUGCACUCCCUGGUCAGGAAUCGAACCAGUUUCCCCUGCACUGGAAGGCAAAGUCUUAACCACUGGACUGCCAGAGCAGCCCCUUACUGGUGAAUUUGAAAGAGGGAGCCACUCUCUCUGCAGCUUCUGGCUUGAAAGAGCUCGAGAGCGAGCUUUCCUUCCUUGCUGAACCUUAACUCGGAGCUGAGCCGGCGUGCCCCGACAUCAGACUCGCCUGGCCGCACACCUUUGCUGCGUAAGCCCAACCCAGGACAUCUGUGCUCUGGUUUUACUUAUCUCUCUGACCAGCCUAUAUUUCUAAGUGAAGCUUUUGCCAAUUCCUUGGGCACUAUCAGUUACUCCGGGCUUGUAAAAGAUCGUUAACAAUGGAGGAAACACUUAAAGCCUUAAUAAUGGUCCACAUCCAUUGUUUCCCCUCGUCAGCAGGAUCCGAGAAUGGAACUUCAUGGGAGAUCAAUGCCGGCCUCCCAGGGCCCUCCACCGAGCCUACCUUGCAACAGUGACCUUGACGCUUAGGUAGUUAUUUAAUAUUCAUCUGAAGCGUUCAUACGUUUGGCCCUUUACAGUAAAUAUAAGCGUACUGGAGAAAUGGCAGUUAUGGAUCAAGAAGUGAAAAAUGUCAGGUUUGCACUGAUGGGUAAUUUUUCCCUCUGGAAAGCUUUUGCUGUGCUGAAGAUACUAACAGUUCAAUAUAUUAUUGGCCACAAUAUUUUCUCCUUUGAAUUCACUGUAUAUGCCUUAAAUAAAUUAAACUACAUGGUCAAUAGUCUCUGUCAUUCACUGCAUUACUGAAUAUUUCUUCUGUUCUGCCAGAGUAGUACCAUACGAAUCAAGAUUAUUAACACCAACAGGAUCAUGGAACCUUUAGAACUGGAAGGAUCCUCGGAGAUCAAUGGCACCCAAUCCUCUCAUUAUUCACACGGAGCAGGGGCGGCUCAGAGAGGUGACAUGAGUGGCCUUGGGUCCCCUAACUGGCUAUGGGGAUGGUUAGGAUGAGAACUGGGGCGUCCCAGGUGGCGCUCGUGCUAAAGAACAUCCCAGCCAAUGUAGAAGAACUAAGAGA